rnacentral:rRNA from 1 species
UGGGGAGUAUUGCACAAUGGGCGCAAGCCUGAUGCAGCCAUGCCGCGUGUGUGAAGAAGGCCUUCGGGUUGUAAAGCACUUUCAGCGAGGAGGAAGGUGGUGAGCUUAAUACGCUCAUCAAUUGACGUUACUCGCAGAAGAAGCACCGGCUAACUCCGUGCCAGCAGCCGCGGUAAUACGGAGGGUGCAAGCGUUAAUCGGAAUUACUGGGCGUAAAGCGCACGCAGGCGGUUUGUUAAGUCAGAUGUGAAAUCCCCGGGCUCAACCUGGGAACUGCAUUUGAAACUGGCAAGCUAGAGUCUCGUAGAGGGGGGUAGAAUUCCAGGUGUAGCGGUGAAAUGCGUAGAGAUCUGGAGGAAUACCGGUGGCGAAGGCGGCCCCCUGGACGAAGACUGACGCUCAGGUGCGAAAGCGUGGGGCAGCAAACAGGAUUAGAUACCCUGGUAGUCCACGCUGUAAACGAUGUCGAUUUGGAGGUUGUGCCCUUGAGGCGUGGCUUCCGGAGCUAACGCGUUAAAGUCGACCGCCU